GGGAACGUCCUGGCCUCCAAGUCCGGAAGCUUCGAGGAUAUUCUCAACUGUACAGUCAGGUCGAGGUUUCUCAGAGGUCAGUGUAUGUCUAAGUAUACCCUGGUCACUCUGCUAGACUUGUUUGUCAGUGCGUGCAUGACAAAACCUCAAGUGGCGGUCUCCAACACCCUAUGCAUCCUUGAACUCAUGAUCCUCCUGCCUCCACCUCCCCAGUACUGGAAUUACGGGAGUUGUACCACCAUGCCUGACAUGGCACUGGCCUCAUUAAAGCUCAAACAACACAGCAAAUUAAGCAUUUUUAAUAGUUUUAGAUGUAUUUAUUUUAUAUGUAUGAGUUUUAUGCCUGUCCACAGCAAGUGUGCCUGGUACCUGCAGAGAUCAGAAGACAGCAUCAGAAGACUCGGACUGUAGUUACAGAUGAUUGUGAAGCACCUUACGGAUGCUGGAAACUGAGCUCCAGGUCCUCUCGGAGAGCAGCCAGUGCUCUUUUUCUUUCCUCUCUUUCUCCCCAACCUCCUGAAGUUGUUUGAGACAGAUAUCUCACUCUAUAGCCUUGGCUGGCCUGAAUUUCACUGUAUAGAUCAGGCUAUCCUCGAACUCACUGAGAUCCCAAGGCUCUUCUACCUCUACCUCCCAAGUUCUGGGAUUAAAGGCACAUACACCAUCGCA
rnacentral:lncRNA from 1 species